AUGACGCGCCUAUCAGAGGUGGCCGAGGACGAUGCAACGCUCUUCUUAGGAGCAGUUGAGGAGGCGAAUGACGCGCCCAACCAAGGUGCCCGCGGAGGAAGAGGUGCUCUUCUUAUACAUGUUUCGUCGAGGCGGCGGACGACGCGCCCAGCGAAGGUGGCCGCGGAUGAAGAGGCGCUCUUCUCGUACCAGGUGUUGUCGAGGCGGCGGACGACGCGCCCAACGAAGGUGGCCGCGGAUGAAGCGGCGCUCUUUCUCAUACCAGAUGCAAUGAAGACGGCGGCGCCCUCGCGCUCACGAAUGCAUGCUAGAACAAGGAGGUCAUCGCCCACUUCUUCAACCCCGGUGACAAGGAGACAAGGAGCUCGCCGCAGCCACCGCCAUCAAGCCGGUGCUGCAGAAGAUAGUGUCGUGGAGCUUGAGGGACGCUGCCAGCGUCCACUUCGUCAAGAUAGUGACUCGGUGGAUGGCGACAUGGAGCUCGCCCGGACGAUGCUCCGUCGUCUUCUUCAUCAAGACGACGCCAUAGAGGACGGAGACGUGGAGCCCGAAGAUGCCGCCACCGUGCCAUGGAGGAUGGAGGCGCGGAGCUCGCCAAGACGACGUCCAUCAUCAACAUCAACAAGCUGGUGCUGCGGUGGACGGAGGCGUGGAGCUCGCAGGACGACACCACCGAUGUCUACCUCAUCCAGACGGAGCGCGCGACGCGGAGUCCAUGAAGAUGACACACGCCCCCGAUGCUGCCCGCAACAUGGAGCCCACGAAACGAAGAAGAUGGUGCUACGCGAUGACACGUCUUCACCGACCCUUACCACGAUCAUGUGA
rnacentral:rRNA from 1 species